GCUUGGGUCCAUGAGGUGGUUGACCAGUGACCACACGCUGUACUUGUGACGUUUGUGACCUGGUCCACUAGCCCUCGUACCCA
rnacentral:miRNA from 1 species